CUUCCAAUUCUGACCUUCCUUUUUGUUUGCUAGUUUAGAACUUGGACAUAAACUGAAACGAUCAAUAUGUACACUACAGGCCUUGACACGGCAUAUUUUUGUCAUCAAAGUAUACAUAAAGAUCCUGAUCAUUUCUUUUAAAGAGAAAAACGAUAAAUUGCUAAAGCAUAUACCCAUCUUUAGAUGAUAACUUGGGAAAC
rnacentral:lncRNA from 1 species